rnacentral:lncRNA from 1 species
CCUCUCCUGCCCAUGGUGGGAGGUUGGGAAGGACAUUCCCCCAUUUCCAUUUGCUCUGCCAUUCAAAACCUUGUGAGGGCCCUCAGGGAAGAAUCCCUUUGCAGAUGAGGAAACUGAGGCCCCACGUGGUGAAGACAAUUUUUACCCGAAUCCACCCACAACAAGAGACCAUUUGGAUAAUGUACAUUAUGGGAAGAGAACAGAGUCUCAGUGAAGAUCAUGUUUCCCCAGCAACACAGGUGCCAGGAGUAGCUGGCUCUGGUCCCAGCCCAGACUCAGAAAUCCUGAGCCACCAGACCAUUUCUAGAUUAACAAAGGCCUGCAUUAAUUUGAUUUCAGUGACCCACUGGAAACCAGUGUCAGCAUAACAACAGUUACGAGAGCUAAACCUACAAAAUAGAAACACAAGUAAAACUUGUUCAAGUGGUUUGCAGUCAUUGAACAUAGAUCAGCUCCUAUGAAAACAAACUCCAUGGGUUUUCUUUGAUGGCAGUUCUGCUCUAAAGAUGGAUAAGGAAGGAGGUUCCAAGAUGGCCGAAUAGGAACAGCUCCAGUCUACAGCUCCCAGCAUGAGCAACGCAGAAGACAGGGGAUUUCUGCAUUUCCAAUUGAGAACACAGGAGCUAUGUGGAGAGUUGAUGGAGGGACAUUCCAGGCAGAGAGAACAGCAAACACAAAGGCCUUGAAGGGCUCAACACCACAUGGAAGCUGCCAAGGCUUGGGGCUCGCACCAUCUGAAGACAUGGUCUGAACUCUACGUUGGCCCUUUCAGCC